rnacentral:rRNA from 1 species
GGGCCCGGCACAAGCGGUGGAGCAUGUGGUUUAAUUCGAAGCAACGCGAAGAACCUUACCAGGUCUUGACAUCCUUUGACCACUCUAGAGAUAGAACUUCCCCUUCGGGGGCAAAGGUGACAGGUGGUGCAUGGUUGUCGUCAGCUCGUGUCGUGAGAUGUUGGGUUAAGUCCGCAACGAGCGCAACCCCUAUUGUUAGUUGCCAUCAUUAAGUUGGGCACUCUAAACGAGACUGCCGGUUGAUAAACCGGAGGAAAGGUGGGG